AUUGAACGCUGGCGGCAUGCCUUACACAUGCAAGUCGAACGGUAACAGGUCUUCGGAUGCUGACGAGUGGCGAACGGGUGAGUAAUACAUCGGAACGUGCCUAGUAGUGGGGGAUAACUACUCGAAAGAGUGGCUAAUACCGCAUGAGAUCUACGGAUGAAAGCAGGGGAUCGCAAGACCUUGUGCUACUAGAGCGGCCGAUGGCAGAUUAGGUAGUUGGUGGGAUAAAAGCUUACCAAGCCGACGAUCUGUAGCUGGUCUGAGAGGACGAUCAGCUACACGGGGACUGAGACACGGCCCAGACUCCUACGGGAGGCAGCAGUGGAGAAGUUUGGACAAGGGGCGAAAGCCUGAUCCAGCAAUGCCGCGUGCAGGAUGAAGGCCUUCGGGUUGUAAACUGCUUUUGUACGGAACGAAAAGCCCCGGGUUAAUACCCUGGGGUCAUGACGGUACCGUAAGAAUAAGCACCGGCUAACUACGUGCCAGCAGCCGCCGUAA
rnacentral:rRNA from 1 species